rnacentral:lncRNA from 1 species
AAUAAAGGAGGUUCAUCACUGCAUAAAAAGGACCAGCAGCAUGCCCUCAACAAAUUGAGACCACAUAAAAGCUCAAACCUGCCAAAGAUAAAAAACAACGGCAGGAAACAAGGAGGCAAAACAACAAAUAGAAAAAUCCAAAAAAGACCAUCUGCUCAAUCAGUGACAGCAUAAUCCAAGGACCACAAAACGAGAGAACCAAAACAGGAGAGAAACAUCAGGAUCCCUUGAGGCCCUUGAUCAACAAAGCCGAGGUCAAAAUCGAACAAGAAAAGAAUAGCAGAUCAUCAAGCAGCACAGCGAGGGAGACAAAACAUCAAGCAACAGCAACAACCAAGUCAACAGCAACAAUUAAAGAAUUAAUGAUCAAGAGAUCACCCUCCCUUCCAAUACCAUCUUUGGCCAGCUUGUCAGCCAGAUUGUUACCAGAUCUCCAAAAAUGUUGAAUUUUUCAAG